rnacentral:rRNA from 1 species
GACGAACGCUGGCGGCGUGCUUAACACAUGCAAGUCGAACGGAAAGGCCCUGCUUUUGUGGGGUGCUCGAGUGGCGAACGGGUGAGUAACACGUGAGUAACCUGCCCUUGACUUUGGGAUAACUUCAGGAAACUGGGGCUAAUACCGGAUAGGAGCUCCUGCCGCAUGGUGGGGGUUGGAAAGUUUCGGCGGUUGGGGAUGGACUCGCGGCUUAUCAGCUUGUUGGUGGGGUAGUGGCUUACCAAGGCUUUGACGGGUAGCCGGCCUGAGAGGGUGACCGGCCACAUUGGGACUGAGAUACGGCCCAGACUCCUACGGGAGGCAGCAGUGGGGAAUAUUGCACAAUGGGCGGAAGCCUGAUGCAGCAACGCCGCGUGCGGGAUGACGGCCUUCGGGUGGUAAACCGCUUUCGCCUGUGACGAAGCGUGAGUGACGGUAAUGGGUAAAGAAGCACCGGCUAACUACGU